AGUGAAAGAAAAAAUUAGGGUUGUACCUUUUGUAUCAGGGGGGCUUAAAAUUGUAAUUAUGGUUUAAUCGAUUUAAACGGAGCUUCUUUUUUAAUCUUUAGUUGAAGUUAAAGGACAAAAGGUUUAAGUGGUGAAAAAUGUUCGACGUUUAUGGUAGCUAGUUACUUUAGUAAUAGGAGGGUUAAGCUUUCGUGUGUUUAUAAAAAAUUAUAGUUAAGAAAACUAGGCUUUAGAUUAGCCAUGCUAAUAAUUUGUUUAAAAUAAUUUUAUUUUUAUUAAGUGUAGAAUAAAUUUAUAUAGUUUUAUUUGUAAUUUUUAGCAAAUAGAGAUAAUGAGUCUAUUGAACAGAAAUUGGAGUCUAAAAAUGACUCAAGAAAGGUUAGAAAGUUUAACAAAAACAUUUCUAUAGGUGUAAUUUAUAGUAUGACCUGCCCAGUGCUUAGUUAACGGCUGCGGUAUUUUGACUGUGCUAAGGUAGCAUAAUCAUUUGUUUUUUAAUUGGUAGCUGGAAUGAACGGUUAAACUAAUGUAUUUAGUUUGUUAGACUAAAUGGUAAAUUAAAGUCAAGGUAAGAAUUCUUUGAUGGCCUAGGGGACGAUAAGACCCUAGAAGCUUUAUAAUAAGUUUGUUAUUGGUGCUAGCGGAUGAUUUUUUUUGCUGGGGCGGCACAGGUACACAGACUAUUUGGUUUUGAGAGAUCCUUUAAAUAAAGAAAAAACGGGUAAGUUACUCUAGGGAUAACAGUGCAAUAUUUUUGAAGAGAUCUUAUCGAUAAAAAUGUUUGCAACCUCGAUGUUGAAUUAAGAUUUCUGCGUGGAGUAGAAGAUACGUGAGAGGGUUUGUUCAACC
rnacentral:rRNA from 1 species